UACGUAGGGUGCGAGCGUUGUCCGGAAUUAUUGGGCGUAAAGAGCUCGUAGGCGGCUUGUCGCGUCGGAUGUGAAAGCCCGGGGACUUAACUCCGGGUCUGCAUUCGAUACGGGCAGGCGUAGAGUUCGGUAGGGGAGAGUCGGAAUUCCUGGUGUAGCGGUGAAAUGACGCAGAUAUCAGGAGGAACACCGGUGGCGAAGGCGGGACUCUGGGCCGAUACUGACGCUGAGGAGCGAAAGCGUGGGGAGCGAACAGG
rnacentral:rRNA from 1 species